GCUCUGUUUUAUCUCUUAUCACAAAAAAUAACGUGUCUUGUUUAGCAUGAAGAUCAAUGAUUCAAGAAUCAGCACCCGCCGCAUUUUACAUUGCUUGACUCAAUCCAAGAACCACAGCAAAAAUGACUUUAGGAUUCGCAGCAGUCAAUAGAACAUUAUCUUUUUCAGAAAACUGGAAACAAGUGGGAGAGCCGGAAAAAGUAUGAUCAAUAUAUAGAAGAAUCUUUCUCCGCCAAGUAACUUAACCAGCCAAAAUUAGAACUCAGUAGGAGAUUUCAAUCUUAUGAGUCGCUUAAUCCUCUGUCUUUGUCAUUUGUGAACAUGUUUUCCGGGAUAAAGAGAACACAUCAGAGCACAAACACUCAGAAUCUCGCUCUCAACGUUAAGUGUUCGACAUCCUAAUCAGAGAUUCAAAUCGAGAAGAAAGCGUUGAAAUCGGAAACCUGCUAAAGUCUUGAAACGAAUCAACCAAACGAAACGAAUCAACCUAUAA